UGAUGCCUACGGGAGGCAGCAGUGAGGAAUAUUGGUCAAUGGGCGCGAGCCUGAACCAGCCAAGUCGCGUGAGGGAUGACGGUCCUACGGAUUGUAAACCUCUUUUGCCGGGGAGCAAGCGUGCGUUCGUGAACGCACGUCGAGAGUACCCGGAGAAAAAGCAUCGGCUAACUCCGUGCCAGCAGCCGCGGUAAUACGGAGGAUGCGAGCGUUAUCCGGAUUUAUUGGGUUUAAAGGGUGCGUAGGCGGGACGGUAAGUCAGCGGUAAAAAUGCGGAGCUCAACUCCGUCGAGCCGUUGAAACUG
rnacentral:rRNA from 1 species